GGAUUGGGGCUCAGCGGUAGAGCACUUGCCUAGCAUGUGCAAGGCCCUGGGUUUGAUCCUCAGCACCCCA
rnacentral:tRNA from 1 species